UCCGGUUCUCGUUAGAUCACCGAAGUUAAGCAUCAUUGGGCGCGGUCAGUACUUGGGUGGGUGACCACCUGGGAACACUGCGUGCCGUU